AGGAAACACAGAAAAGGCGUGUUGUUGCCUGCCUCCCCGUUUCCCGAGGAUAGAUCCUGAUUCUCCUGAAUGCAGACAUCAGUGGACACAAAUAAAUUGAUUGUCAAGUACUACCGUUGCUGCACAAUGGGGCGGGGUUGAGUCACGCAGUCCGUUUUUCCACAAAAACGAGAGAAAUGAAAGAAUUGUACAUACCCAGUUUAGUGAUCACCAAUGAUGAAUGCUUCAGACCAUAACGAAUCAAUCGCGUAAGUUGAAAAAGAUUUAAUCUUCCAAGUAUGGUUGCCGUUAUUGCUUCUUCCAUUCAUUGAUAGCACUCUCCUUUGCGUGUUUGUAUUGAGAACGAAAAUGUCCACCCCAAACACACAGGCGUCGUUGACGAUUGGUACCCAUUUGAAGAGUCACUGAAAACUGAAGGUGAUGGGAAUUUGGGUGCGGCCCCAUUCUGUUUUAAUUGCAUGAAAACGAUUACUUUCCACCUGCAUAUAGUAACAUUUUAAUCACAACAGCAUAUUCUUUCUUUGAAUAUAGAGGACGCAAUGAUCCUAGGUUAAACAAUUAGAGUGCUUCUCCAUCUUGAUAUCUAUUGCUAGCAAAAUUAGUUCGCAGCUUCGAAAGUAAUUGUUUUCUGAGUGUGUAGAUUUUAGAAACUGGUGCAAGCUACACUCGAAAGAUCUUUUUUCUUUUUUUCUUUUAGGGGAGUUUGAUUAGGGGAUGAGUUGGAUGACGUAUAUAUAAUGUAUAGCAUGAGAUUAUUUGCGGGGUUAUAUGUUGGUAUUAGCGACUAUUUUUACUAUAGAUAGUUUAGGGGGUUGUUUAUGACUUCUGGUUACAGUUUUUCACGGGGAUAAGUUGGAAAAAGCCAAUUUUUGUGAAGCUGGGGGAGAGAUGCUUAGAACUUCUGAUUUUAGAUUAUUAGAAACUGCAACAAUAGUGGAUGAGGUAUAAUAAUCACGUAAUUUAACCAAGAUGUUACCUGAUAGGGUAAAAUAUUUGUCCCGAACUUGAUCAAAUAUGAAUAAAUUGAACAUGGUUUUAACCUCCCAACCAGCAGGCAGAGAACUUGUAUCCACCAGUGUCAAAGAGAUAGAAUUAUGGACCUGACCACCUAUAUCCUUGUUCGUGGUAUACGGAAAGCGUACCUGGAGAAAACAAAACACGUAUAUAGUGUUUACCAUCUAUUCUAUUUCACAGAUUCAGAGUUGUCUCACCUAACGAUAGAAACAAAUGUCAGAUUGUACAGGGAAGAAUAGUUACCAUUUGUAGUCCGCCUGCUUCGAAAACUUGUCUGAACUAUAUUUCUCUAUCAAAGCUUUAGAAAGUAGUGAGAAUGACUGGAUUUUGAACAAGUAGUGUGACGGCGAAGCAUCUCUUCCUGUAAAAUUUUAUCAACUAAAAUGAAAAUUGCCAUGCAGACUCAAAUUUUGAGAGCGAGAAGGUGGAGAGCAAGACCUUCGAAGUCAUCAUCGUAUGGAUAAAUUCUCAGCCUUAAGCCCAUCUUGAUAUAAAAGGCCAGAAAUGGUGGCAACACAAGAAAUGGGGCACCAAAACCAGGCAUAAGGACUGGGUAUAUAAAUGUUUUGGGAAAGAAUUAACCUUCUUUACGAAAGUGAAAAGAAAGGGAUCACCCCCUCCCCAAGUGCAAGUUGUUCUUAUUCUUACUUCAUGCCCUAGUUUUCCUUGUAUCCUUAUGUUGGGGUAAUUAUUUAGCGGUUCUUAAAUUAAAAAUUGGGACCAAAGCUGAUCUGAUAGUCUUUUAAGUAUCUUUUACUUGUGUUGGUCGAGCUAAAGCUCUUCCGGUUUUUGUAAUGAAUCACUAUGACUAUCAACAUCACUCUCUUCGCUUAUUUUUGUUUUAAAAAAUAAAUUGUACUCUUUUAUAAUAGAAAGUUUUACGAUGGUGAUUGUACUAAUGACCCCUAAGAGGGUGGUGGUCGUUCACCUCAAUAUAUGUUGAAGGUGUAUUGAAAUUCUAGCAGCAAUAUAACCCUUUUUUAAAAAUUUCUUUGCUAGGACUCAAAUUAUUUUAUUAAAAAGUGUAGGACCCACUCUCAUAUAUAAGUGGUCGAGAGUUUAUUCGAUAAAAUAUAAUUAGUUUUAUAACAUUUUUAGUUUGGAUAAAGCAACUAUUUUAUGCUAAAAUAUAAAGUAUACAGCAUUGCUAUCCACAAAAUGUGAUGUUUCUCUUAGCCAUUGAUACAACUGGAAUGACAUUGUCCGGCUGAAAAAGGUAUUCAAAUUAUCUAAUUGAAUUUUUCUAAAUACCCCAGUAAAUCAUUUGGUUUUCGUGUUUUUUUAGUAGUUUCUUUUUUACUUUUUGGAUUCCCUACAAAAAACCAUUGAAAACUUAAUGUAUGUCCUAUGAUAGAUAUACUUUCUGGUUUUUAGAAAAAAUCGUAAGGACAUCCAUAGUUUUUUUUCAAAUGGUUUUUUGUAAGGGAAUCCAAACAAGUAAAAAAGAAAAUACUAAAAACAACUAAAACCACCGGCCAAAUUGAUUUUCUGGGUAUUUAGAAAGAUCAAUUUGGGUUUUCGUGUUUUUUAGUAUUUCUUUUUUUCUUUUUUGGAUUCCCUACAAAAAACCAUUGAAAACUUAAUGUAUUCUAGUUAGGCGUAGCCCAUUCAAAUCCUUAAAACUCAAGUAUUAAGAAGAGAGGAUUAUAAGCGGCCAUAACUGGGCGAUGUGGGACAUUCUAACACACUCAUUGGGCUAAGGCAGAAAGACACUCGGCACACAGAAAGAGAAACGCAACCUUGCUUUGAUACCAAUAGUCAAGCCCAGCUUAUUUAACUCUUUAAAAUUCAGGUCUUAAGAAGAGGGAAACAUGAGUCUUAUAGAUUGAACAAAGAGGUCAUAAUUAGGCGAUGUGAGAUAUUCCAACAUAUGUAAUAAUAUUUCUCGGAUAAUCCAAGGGUUGGUCGAGUGGGAGUUUGGCCACGACUAAGGGGCUUGCCCUUCAAGGUCGCAGGUUCAAAACCCUUGCCCAUUAGGCGUUUUGCAAUGGCUUUAAUUGGACUCCCCAGUGAGAUUGGUCUCCCGGAUUCGUUGGUCCUUUAAACCACAUACUAGAGCUUGCAAAUGGGUUCGGGUUGGGCUUACCCGACCCGUUGCUACAGUAACAGGCCCAACCGGCUACGGGUGGGCUAGGCUAAGCCCAACCCGCUACAGUACCAGUCCGGGUUUAGCUCAGACCGUUAGUCCGAAGCUCUACCAACCCGGACCCAUUAGGCCCCGAACUGACUACAGUAGCGGGUUGUACAAGUGAAGGCGGGUUUUUAGCCCAGCCCGGCGGGUAAUAGGGUAAUAUGUGUUUAUUAUUAAAUAUUCUACUUUAUAGUAAUGACUUGUUGGUUAAGUGGUUUUGUGAGUGUACUGAUUUGUUAGGGGAGGUGCUUAGUCGUUCCCAAGCAGGACGUUUUAUGUGUUUUUUUAAACUAUGGCAUUGGAGUCUUUAUCUUUAAAUAUACCGACUAACUAAGCAAAAGAGUUUUGAUCCAAGUGGUAGUCAACUCGUAUUUUGUCCUGGGGGUCUUGAGUCGAUUUACCCCCCCGCCACAACAUUUCAUUUGUUUCAUUAACUAUGAAUUAAUAGUUUUUAUAAUAAAUAUAACGUAAUAUAACCAAAUAGUGAUUUGUCCAAGUGGUUGAUUGUCCCUGUUUUGGAAAAGGUCUUCAGUUCGCAAUCCCAGUUCUAUCGCAAAAAUUUUGCUACAGUAACUCGGGCUUUACGGGCCCAAUCUGGCGGGUCGGUUCGGCUCAAAACGGGACUUAAUGGGCCGGGCUUUUUAGCGGGCCGGACUUCGAAAAUGCUGUCCAGCCCGCUCCAAUAUUAAUGGGUUUCGGUCCGGACUGGGCUUCUUAACGUUUCGUAUUAACCCGGAUGCUACAGUACCGUCCCGGCAACCGGUACGGGCUCGUGGGCCCAGAGGGCCCUUUUUUUUGCAGCACUACCACAUACUGAUACCGAGUUGUCAAAACAAAACAAAAAAUGUUGUUCUCGAAUGUACUAGAUAAAGGUGCGAUCUUAACCCCAAAAAAAUGAGAUUUUUUUGUUUUUUGUUUUUUUUUCCCUCCAUGUAUGAGAAUCGAAGGAGCACAAGAUUUUUCAUCCCAAACAACUUGGGUUGAAGUAAAUAGAUAACAAAAGGUGGAAACUCUCCGUGUGUUUAGGUAGCGAUUCUAUAAGCUAGUAUCUUUAUCAAGUUGGAAAGACCCGAAUCUCAGUUUUGAUGGAAGCAAGAUACCCAAAUUCAAUUCGCUGCUGCCAUGAAUCCGUAGACAUGAAAUGACUCCGGAGCUUCCUGCUCCAUGGUAAGAGUCGAUUUCCUGAGCCAUUGAGGAACCAUGGUAGCAGGGUUGACCAUGGAAGUUCAGCCCUUUUGAGAGUUUUAUCUUUUUAUGGUUAGUGUGUGUCAACUAAUAAAGCUUGGCGAGCUAUGAACUGAAUUUUGACUUGGGAUUGAGUCCAUCUUUUUUUUAUUUAUUUACAUAGCAUAGAGUUCAUGUGAUAACAAAUUGGAAGAUGAAUUCUUAAGAUACAGCGGUCACUGUUCCAAGCAAAGUAACGUUUGCUUCAAUGAUGCAAGUGUCAUCCACCAAGAACCCCUUCCUUGGAUCAGUAAGUUUAGGCAGUGACAUGAACUUCGGAGCACCCCAGACCAAGCAUGUAGGCCCAAAAUGAUUAUCAGCUGCAAGAAAAGAAGCCAAAAUAAAAUUACAGGUUUAAGUAAAAUUAUAAUUUACGUAGACAUAACGAACAGUUGCAUAAUCUUACUUUUGAAUUCAAAGUGUGCUGCCUUGGUUUGGUUUUGGUCGAUUACUCGGAGGAUGAAUUUCACAAAGACUCUAGUAUCAGGUGGAAGAGUCGAUUCAUCCACACAUAGAAACACAGAAAUGCUAUUGCCCUUGCCUUCCCCGUUUCCUCGAGGAUAGAUCACGAUCCUCCUGCAAUGCAUAGACAUAGCGGCACAAUUAAACUUAAUUGUUUGUAAAGUUUGUGACAUGGAGAGAUGCCCAGGACUACCGUUGCUGACAAUGUGGCUCGGGUUUGAGUCACGCGAGUCAGUUUUCUGAAAAAACGGAGAAAUGAACAAACUUGUACAUACCAUUUAUGAUCUCCGACUGUGAAUGCUUCAGACUCGUAACGAUCAAGCUUGUAAGUUGAAAAAGAUUUAAUUUUCCAAGUAUGGUUCGCAGUUAUUGCUUGUUCCAUCAUUGAUAAACACUCUCCUUUGCGUGUUUGUUUGAGAACGAAAAUGUCCACCCCAAACACGCAGGCGUCGGUGAUGAGGUACCCAUUUGAAGAGUCACUGAAAACUCGAAGGUCAAUGAAAUUGGGUAUGCCCCAUUCUGUUUUCAUCGCAUGAAAACGCAUUACCUUUCCACCUG
rnacentral:lncRNA from 1 species